rnacentral:rRNA from 1 species
ACGUCUACGAGUUUGAUCCUGGCUCAGGAUGAACGCUAGCGGCAGGCCUAACACAUGCAAGUCGAGGGGUAGGGUUAGCUUGCUAACUUGAGACCGGCGCACGGGUGCGUAACGCGUAUGCAAUCUACCUUGUACAGAGGGAUAGCCCAGAGAAAUUUGGAUUAAUACCUCAUAGUAUCUUUACCUGGCAUCGGGUAAUUAUUAAAGUUCCAACGGUACAAGAUGAGCAUGCGUCCCAUUAGUUAGUUGGUAAGGUAACGGCUUACCAAGACAAUGAUGGGUAGGGGUCCUGAGAGGGAGAUCCCCCACACUGGUACUGAGACACGGACCAGACUCCUACGGGAGGCAGCAGUGAGGAAUAUUGGUCAAUGGACGCAAGUCUGAACCAGCCAUGCCGCGUGCAGGAAGACGGUCCUAUGGAUUGUAAACUGCUUUUAUACAGGAAGAAACAACUCUACGUGUAGAGUCUUGACGGUACUGUAGGAAUAAGGAUCGGCUAACUCCGUG